rnacentral:rRNA from 1 species
UGGGGAAUUUUGGACAAUGGGCGAAAGCCUGAUCCAGCAAUGCCGCGUGUGUGAAGAAGGCCUUCGGGUUGUAAAGCACUUUUGUCCGGAAAGAAAUCCUUGGCUCUAAUACAGUCGGGGGAUGACGGUACCGGAAGAAUGAGCACCGGCUAACUACGUGCCAGCAGCCGCGGUAAUACGUAGGGUGCAAGCGUUAAUCGGAAUUACUGGGCGUAAAGCGUGCGCAGGCGGUUUGCUAAGACCGAUGUGAAAUCCCCGGGCUCAACCUGGGAACUGCAUUGGUGACUGGCAGGCUAGAGUAUGGCAGAGGGGGGUAGAAUUCCACGUGUAGCAGUGAAAUGCGUAGAGAUGUGGAGGAAUACCGAUGGCGAAGGCAGCCCCCUGGGCCAAUACUGACGCUCAUGCACGAAAGCGUGGGGAGCAAACAGGAUUAGAUACCCUGGUAGUCCACGCCCUAAACGAUGUCAACUAGUUGUUGGGGAUUCAUUUCCUUAGUAACGUAGCUAACGCGUGAAGUUGACCGCCUGGGGAGUACGGUCGCAAGAUUAAAACUCAAAUGAAUUGACGGGGUCAUAGCUGUUUCC